rnacentral:rRNA from 1 species
AUGGAGAUGGUGGAGAAGCUAUCUCUCACCACAAGACCACAUCCACAUCCUUACUACAUCCAAUGGUUCAACAAUAGCGGCAAGGUUAAGGUAACACGUACUGUUCGUGUGCAUUUUAGUAUCUCUACAUAUGCUGAUUAUGUUGAUUGUGAUGUGGUACCUAUGCAAGCAUGUUCCUUAUUACUUGGUAGACCAUGGCAAUUUGAUAAAAAUUCUGUACACCAUGGUAGAAACAAUCAGUAUACUCUUGUUCAUAAUGAUAAAAAUAUUACUUUGCUUCCUAUGUCUCCUGAUUCCAUUUUGAAAGAUGAUAUUAAUAGAGCUAAUAAAGCAAAACAGGAGACAAAUAAGAGUGAAAAUCAGAUUGUGGCAAAAGAAUUUGAGCACCAAAUGAAGCCUAAUAAUAAACCAUCUACUGUUGUUUCUGAAAUUAAAUUGAAAAGUGCAUGUUUACUUGCCACCAAAUCUGAUAUUGAUGAGCUAGAUUUCAGCAAAUCUGUUUGCUAUGCUUUUGUGUGCAAAGAGGCAUUAUUUUCAUUCAAGGACGUGCCUUCCUCUUUGCCCCCUGCUGUCACUAACAUUUUGCAGGAGUUCGCUGACGUCUUUCCACAAGACGUGCCACCGGGAUUACCACCUAUUCGAGGGAUUGAGCAUCAAAUUGACUUAAUUCCCGGUGCUUCGCUACCCAACCGUGCACCAUACCGUACCAAUCCAGAGGAGACGAAGGAGAUUAUGCGUCAAGUACAAGAACUGCUCGACAAAGGUUAUAUACGCGAAUCCCUUAGUCCUUGUGCUGUUCCUAUCAUUUUAGUGCCGAAAAAGGAUGGUACGUCGCGUAUGUGCGUUGAUUGUAGAGGCAUAAAUAAUAUUACUAUUCGUUAUCGUCAUCCUAUUCCUAGGCUAGAUGAUAUGCUUGAUGAAUUGAGUGGUUCUACAAUAUUCUCCAAAGUUGAUUUGCGUAGUGGAUACCAUCAAAUUCGUAUGAAAUUGGGAGAUGAAUGGAAAACAGCAUUUAAAACUAAGUUUGGAUUAUAUGAGUGGUUAGUCAUGCCUUUUGGGUUAGCUAAUGCACCUAGUACUUUUAUGAGGUUAAUGAAUGAAGUUUUACGUGCUUUCAUUGGACGAUUUAUGGUAGUUUACUUUGAUGACAUAUUGAUUUAUAGCAAAUCUUUGGAGGAACAUUUGGAACAUUUACGUGCUGUUUUUAUUGCUCUACGUGAUGCACGUUUGUUUGGAAACCUUGGAAAGUGCACCUUUUGCACCGACCGAGUAUCUUUUCUUGGCUAUGUUGUUACUCCACAGGGAAUUGAAGUUGAUAAAGCCAAGAUUGAAGCUAUUGAGAGUUGGCCGCAGCCCAAAACGGUCACACAAGUGAGGAGUUUCCUUGGCCUCGCUGGUUUCUAUAGGCGUUUUGUGAGAGAUUUCAGCACCAUUGCUGCACCUCUCAACGAGCUUAGAAAGAAGGAUGUGCCUUUUGUUUGGGGUAUCGCACAGGAAGAAGCCUUCACGGUAUUGAAAGAUAAGUUGACACAUGCUCCUUUACUCCAACUUCCUAAUUUCAAUAAGACUUUUGAGCUUGAAUGUGAUGCUAGUGGAAUUGGAUUAGGAGGUGUGUUAUUACAAGAUGGAAAACCUGUUGCAUACUUUUCUGAAAAAUUGAGUGGGCCUAGUCUGAACUAUUCUACUUAUGAUAAAGAAUUAUAUGCUCUUGUUCGGACCUUAGAAACAUGGCAACAUUAUUUAUGGCCCAAGGAAUUUGUUAUACAUUCUGAUCAUGAAUCUUUGAAACACAUUAAAAGUCAAGAAAAACUGAACCGUAGACAUGCUAAAUGGGUUGAAUUCAUUGAGACUUUCCCUUAUGUCAUUAAACACAAGAAGGGUAAAGAAAAUGUUAUUGCUGAUGCCUUGUCUCGUCGUUAUACUAUGCUUUCACAACUUGACUUUAAAAUAUUUGGUUUGGAGACCAUCAAAGAUCAAUAUGUUCAUGAUGCUGAAUUUAAAGAUGUAUUGCAGAAUUGUAAGGAAGGGAGAACUUGGAACAAGUUCGUUCUUAACGAUGGAUUUGUGUUUCGUGCUAACAAGCUAUGCAUUCCAGCUAGCUCCGUUCGUCUUUUGUUGUUGCAGGAGGCGCAUGGAGGAGGAUUAAUGGGACACUUUGGCGUGAAGAAGACGGAGGAUAUACUUGCUACACAUUUCUUUUGGCCAAAGAUGAGACGGGAUGUUGAGCGUUUUGUUGCUCGCUGCACUACAUGUCAAAGAGCUAAGUCACGACUCAAUCCUCAUGGUUUAUAUAUGCCUUUGCCUGUACCUAGUGUUCCUUGGGAGGAUAUAUCUAUGGACUUUGUUUUAGGUUUACCUCGAACAAAGAAGGGGAGGGAUAGCAUAUUUGUUGUCGUGGAUAGGUUCUCGAAAAUGGCACACUUUAUACCAUGUCAUAAAAGCGAUGAUGCUGUUAAUGUUGCUGAUUUGUUCUUUCGUGAAAUUAUUCGCUUACAUGGUGUGCCAAAUACUAUUGUUUAUGGGCUAAGUUGGGGACUAAGCUGCUUUUUAGUACUACUUGUCACCCCCAAACUGAUGGACAAACUGAAGUAG